rnacentral:rRNA from 2 species
AGAGUUUGAUCAUGGCUCAGGACGAACGCUGGCGGCGUGCCUAACACAUGCAAGUCGAGCGAAGUGAUUUUCGAUGAAGUUUUCGGAUGGAUUUCGGAAUCAUCUUAGCGGCGGACGGGUGAGUAACGCGUGAGAAACCUGCCUUUCACAAAGGGUUAGCCUCGGGAAACUGGGAUUAAUACCUUAUGACACUUUAACCUCGCAUGAGGAAUAAGUUAAAGCGUAAAGCGGUGGAAGAUGGUCUCGCGUCCUAUUAGCUAGUUGGUGAGGUAACGGCUCACCAAGGCGACGAUAGGUAGCCGGCCUGAGAGGGUGAACGGCCACACUGGAACUGAGACACGGUCCAGACUCCUACGGGAGGCAGCAGUGGGGAAUAUUGCACAAUGGAGGAAACUCUGAUGCAGCGACGCCGCGUGAAUGAUGAAGGCCUUCGGGUCGUAAAAAUCUGUCCUUGGGGAAGAUAAUGACGGUACCCAAGGAGGAAGCCCCGGCUAACUACGUGCCAGCAGCCGCGGUAAUACGUAGGGGGCGAGCGUUGUCUCCGGAAUUAUUGGGCGUAAAGGGUUCGCAGGCGGUCUGAUAAGUCAGAUGUGAAAGGCUAUGGCUUAACCAUAGUAAGCAUUUGAAACUGUCAGACUUGAGUUAAGGAGAGGAAAGUGGAAUUCCUAGUGUAGCGGUGAAAUGCGUAGAUAUUAGGAGGAAUACCAGUGGCGAAGGCGACUUUCUGGACUUAUACUGACGCUGAGGAACGAAAGCGUGGGGAGCAAACAGGAUUAGAUACCCUGGUAGUCCACGCCGUAAACGAUGAGUGCUAGGUGUUGGGGGUCAAACCUCGGUGCCGCAGCUAACGCAUUAAGCACUCCGCCUGGGGAGUACGUACGCAAGUAUGAAACUCAAAGGAAUUGACGG